rnacentral:lncRNA from 1 species
AACGUCAAAUAAAUAAGAACAAAAUUUGUUCUUUAAAAAGACAAUUAAUUAAUAGGAAUGAAGAGAGUAAUGUAUAAUGAUAUGUAAUGAGUAAUUUAUAACCUCGCAUGAAAUUCGAUCAAUUAUAUGGGACAGUGCCUCAAGCAUGCUAGUGAUAUCGGCUUGGUAGGUUUGGUCCUCGAUCCUAUCCAUAUGAGUGACAUGAUAGGUUUUCUCCUCCGUCCUAUCCAAAUGCGUACUACCCUGCAAGUCAUGAUCAGAACCCACCAUUACAUAAUCAGUUAUUUGGUAGCUCAUAUUCCAAUGCAAAUUAUGCACAGUUAUACAAUGUGUUUUGAAGAUUGUACAUUUAUACUGAAAAUGAGAAAGUGUACUAAAAAUAUCAUUACCCCAUCCAAUAAAAUAUAAAUGUAUACCUGCGGAAUGGUAGCAUCAAUAGUAUUACUCAUGCCAGUACGUGCCAAAAUAUCCUCCACAAUAUGGAGAAGCGGCUUGACAUUAAGGCUUCUGCCAUCAGGAGUAUGAGUAUCAUGGAUUUGUCUCAUCAUCACAUUAUCAUCGGCCGACAUAAACAUGUUGCGGUCACCUUUGAUAAGAUGCUGCAUGGUCAUACCCGCAUUUGGCGCCCGCAUAGUUGUUGUAGUCAGCGCAUUCGGCACCUGCUGCAAAGUGGUCAUAACAUUAGGAUUCUGCAUAGUACUGCUCAUAUUCGGCGGAUACACGGUGGUCAUGGCAUUAUUCCCCGGCUGCAUAGUGGUCAAAGCAGUAUUCGCCGGCUGCAUACCGCUCAUAAUAUUUGCGGCCUGCUGCUGCAUGUUCAUGGCGUUUGCCGCCUGUUGCAUGGUGGCCAGAGCAUUUUGCGCCGACAUAGUGGUCAUAUUAUUUGGCGGCUGCUGCUGCAUGUUGCUCAUAGUAUUGGCCGCGGAUGCCACCAGCUGCUUGGUGUUGCUCAUCAUAGUACUGAUUGGGGCUGGCUAAUUGCUAGUGAGUGCAAUGAAUGUUACAAGGCAAAAAGGCUAGUUAGUUGAUUGUGUGAUCCGAUCGAGUCUAAAACAGGGUGGGGGUUUAUAUAACCAUUUUAAUGGUGGAAUAAAGGGUGAGCAACCUAGCUAGCAUUCCUUCCUUCCAAUGAAGUUAAAGUCCACCAACGUUAACAUGAAGCCUAACCCUUUUGUGGUCACUCCAUACCCCACAUCUUUUAUAUAUAUUUAGAAAUAUUAUGUGGGGUAACAAUAUAUAUAUUAGUUUGGAACUCAUUAAAGUAUUAUUGACAAUGUUAUGAGAAAUUUGUAAUUAUUAUUUAAAGAUUCAUUUUAUAAAUGUACAAAUUUUAACAAUGUAAACAAUAAGUAUUCAGUAUGUUCUAACAAUUGUGCAUGUACUCAGUGCAUUAACAGAGAGAAAUAGUACAUGCUAGUUCAUAAGAAAGUAGGAUCCAUGUCGUUUUUUUUAAUGUUAAUACAUAAUUACUAGAGAACUGUUAGUUUAUAUAAAAUUACUCCUAAAAAAUUCAACUGGAAUGAGAUUCUAGUUUUGAAGAGAUAAUUAUUUUACUACUAAUCGAAAAAAACAACGGGAUAAGAAAGAUAUGAUAACAAAUAAGUAUUCAAAUCAUCAGAUUUUUUGUUUUUUAUAUUUUUUUCAUGUCAUCAGAUGUUAACUUUAAUGUGUAGGCAUUGUGUGAACCGAGGCUCAAUCAGCUGGGUAAUGUCCCAGAUGUUUUAACUUUCCUAUUUUUUAAAUUUUUUUCUCUCCUUUUCAUUUAAGAUAUGAAUUAAAGUUUCAUACAGUACUGUGACUACAACCAUGAAAUUAGCCCAUAUAUAAGUACAAAAUUAUUAUUAUAAAAAAUUACAAUAUUGAAUACACUAUCAAAAUCAAUUUAUUAAUUGAUUUCAAAAAUUUUAAUACGUUUGUCAAAUUAUUAAUAUUAAAAUUAAUUAAUUUGACCAUAAAAAAUUAAUUAUAACAGAUAAAGUUAGUAUAUUUUUGAACUUUAAAGUAAUGACAUGUAUUAAAAAACAGAUUCCAAAAUGAACAUCAUGACCUACCAUUUGAGGAAAGAAAUGUAGCAGUAACUUUGUAAUAAGUGAAAAUAAGAAAAAGAGUCGCACCAUGUCCAUUUGAGGGCAAACAACUCAAUUAGUAGUAAAGGUGAUUAAAUAAAUAAAUAAAUAAAAUCCUUGGCCUGCAUUUAGACUUGAGUAAGUUUACUCCCUCUAUUUUAAAAUUAAAAAUAUAUUUGUUUUUUGGUCAAUUUUAAAAUUAUAUAUAGACGAGCGUUAAUUAAUUAAUCAAGCGUUAAAUAAUUCCAGGAUUAAGAGUUUAAUCGGGUCAUCAAAAUAUAUGCCUUUGAUCCCACAAAUAUGAAAAAUAACAUGUAAAUACUUAAGGAAUUAACUUGAGGCCUGUCAAUAUAUCCUAGCUAAGCUAGCCCUAGUACACGAGUGCAUGCAAUUAAUUGAUAAUUGCGCAUUAUUAUUAAUUUAACAAAAACCAGAAAGAAAAAAAAAGGAGGUGAAUGAGUACUUUAUUUACUAAUUCUUUACUUGAUACCCCCUUUUUCUUUUGGCGAGCAUAUCUAAGUCCUGAAUCAGAUUUUUCUGCAUUAGAAUUUCACGUAAAGUUAGAAGGAACAAAUUAAAAAAGAAUGUAAUUAACAUUUUAUUCCUCUCUUCUCUAUUCUUUCUCAUGCAUGUUGUCUGCAUAAACAUAAGGAUUUAUUAAUUUCAACCCAUAAUAACUACAAUUAAUGCUAAGUUAAUACCUAAAAAUGAAAUAAUUAAAAUGGAAAAAGGGUUAAAUUUGUAAUUAAGUACUUAUUACAUUGGAUAUAUAUUGAUAAAUUCAAGAACUGAAAAUUAUUAAUUAUAUAUGACGGUUUAUGUUUCUCUUUUAAUUCUUUUCUCUUACUUGGCAGUUAAAAGAGAAUGUCAUGAUUCACAUUGCGGUGGUUUAUAGAACUGCUCCGGAAAAAGGACAGAGGCACAAAAUCUUAGCUAGUGAUUGAAACCCCCAACUCUGAUCUCAAUCAAACCAAAUUAAACCUUAUACUAAUAUUUACGAUUCAAAUUAAAUAAUAUUUAAGACUGCUUAAAUUAUAUAAUAAGACAGAUAAAUUUCAUUUUUUUGGUAAGAUGAUUCAUUGCAUUUAGACCAUUAACUUGAUAAUAAGAUAAAUAAAUUUGAUCUUUUUCUGUAAAAUGGAUGUGCAUGAUUACAUAAUAAUAAUGGACUAUGUAAAGAUUAAGUAUUCAUCUUCUAUUAGAAAUUUGUAUUACUUAGCAUGUCUCUAUAUGACUUAGAAAUUGAUGCAAUAGCAUUACGUUCGUAGUGUGCUAACACGUAUAAUAAGUGAAUCAAACAAAAAACAUGACAAAUCAAAUAUAAUAGUCUAUUGCAUUACAAAACUAUUACAUUGAUUUGACAUAUAGACCAAACGCUACUUAUGUUUGAGUCAAAAUUAGGAGUUAUUUGAUAAAAUUGAAUGAAAACUUUUGAACGAGUAAAGAAUCCUGAAUGAGGUGAGUAGAAUUGAGUUUUUGAAUACUGAAUAAAAAAUCAUGUUUGAUAAUUGAUCUAUCUGAAAUGCCUAAAUGAAUUUAUUUUAAAAUUUUAACCUUCUAAAAUGUUUUAAACAAGUUUGUUUGGUAGUUUAAAAACUUGCAAUUUAAGAGUUGUUUCAUUAAAUUGAAUAAACUGUUUUAAACAAGUUUGUCUGUUAACUUGAAAAAAAUUGCAAUUUAAGAGUUGUUUCAUAAAAUUGAAUGAAAAUGUUUGAAUAUUUAGAUAUUUUGUUUGAAAAUAUGUUUGAUAAUUUAUAUAUUUGGAAUAUAUAUUAGAAUGAGUGUGCUUUCACAUUUUAACCUUUUGAACUAUUUAUUUCAUAAUUAAAGAUAUGCAUGCAAUCUCAUCAAAAUAUUAUUUAAUGGACUUUCUCUUUAAAGGCUAUUAUUAAUCAAAGUGGUUCAAAAGUUCAGUAGGAUUACAACAAAGUGAACUUGCAUGGUAAAAUCAUAUCUCACACUCCGAUGGCUACAGCCACACAUAUAACUGAAAUUUAAAAACAUACAUAGUAGCCACUCGCUCUUUUAUUAGUAGCCAUAUAUAUAUAUAGGCAUGCAUGCACUUCAUAACUAAUUAGAGAACUCAAUAUAUCAAACCUUCUUGCUUAAUUCAAUAGGGUGCUACCGUGGCAUUUUCGUCAUGGCAACAAAGGAAUGUGCUAUACUUGUCCAUAUGGCGAAGGCACUCCGGGCAGCUCAUUCCAUCCGGGAUUCUUCCGGCAGUUGUCAAGAACUCGAAGCGGCAGCAAGGAAGAUUCGCAACAUGUAGCCUGUCGUGGUACUCUUUAAACGCGAUAUCGAAGCCUCUUAGGGGAACUUCUUCCUUCCAUGCAUCAAAAUCCUGGAAAGUGCUUAAAACUGUUUGUGCAUGUCCACCAGUGACCACAUAUGACCCUUUGUAUAGUAAUGCCCAACCUCCGCUCUUGUCGUAGCUCAGGAGUUUCUUGAUUUCUUGCAUAAGUGGGUCUUGAUGAUCGUCGGUUUUCUUUACUUGAAUCUUGGAAAACAACAUGCUCUCCAGUCGUGCCCAAAAGAACCAUAUCAUUGUAGGGUCUUGCCAGCAGUAGCUUAGCUUUUCCACGUUGAUUGUUGCCAUUGCCUUCCGGACCAUUUCCCUUUUGGUGCUUUUUCCAACAUAGGCCAUUUCCAGAGGAACGCGUGCCGCCUGUGCAACUGCGCGUGCUGUGGUUGUGAAUCUUCGGAUCCAGUCGAUGUCCUCCCCUCCGUACAAGAUUAUGAAUUUUCCAUCUUUUAUCUGAUGAAUUAAUUAUCCGUUGUGAGGCAUAUAUGUAUGCACAUAAAUGAGGUGUACAAAAUUAGGUACAUGUAGUAUCAAAUAUAUAAAUGAGGCAUAUAUUAGUAAUAAUAUAUAUUAAUAUUGGUAUUAAUAUUAAAUUGACAUAAAAUUAAUAUUAAAUAUUAAAUAUCAAUACUAAAUACUAAAUUGUUAUUGAUAUUAAUAUUAAGUACUAUUAAAUAUUAAAUAUCAAUACUAAAUACUAAAUAUUUAUAUUUAUAUUAAAUACUAAAUUGUUAUUGAUAUUAAUAUAAAAUAUUAAAUAUUAAUAAGAAAUUGACAUAAAAUUAAUAUUAAUAUUGGUAUUAAUAUUAAAAUAUUAAAUAUUAAUAUUGGUAUUAAUAUUAAAUAUUAAUAAUUAAUAUUUAAUUGACAUAAAAUUAAUAUUUAAUAAUUAAUAUCAAUACUAAAUAUUAAUAUUAAUAUCAAUAAAAAUUUAGAUAUUAAAUAUUAUUUAAUAUUAAUAUUAAUAUUAAUAUCAAUAACAAUUUAGUUUUGAUAUUUAAUAUUUAAUAUUAAUUUUAUGUCAAUUUAAUAUUAAUACCAAUAUUAAUAUAUAUUAUUACUAAAUAUUAAUAUUAAUAUUUAGUAAUAUAUAUUAUUACUAAUAUUUAAUAUUUAAUAUUAAUAUUAAUACCAAUAUUAAUAUAUAUUAUUACUAAUAUUAUUGUCCUUGGAGCCAACAACAAAAAAUGCAUUAACAUACAAAUUAAGAGCCAAAGAAGUAAUACAUGGGCAAUGAAAUAAUGGUCAAAGCAACAUAGAUGAGUAAUUAGAACAGUCACGGCAGCUUGUAGCGGGAGGUGUGAUUUUUUAUUUUUAUUUGUAAUCCAUGCCGUCCAUUUUAUUAAUUAAGAGUAUAAAUUAUGGUUGCUAGAAUAGUACCUUAACAAUCGGUUGCUACGAAUUGGCACCCAUAUAUAUAUAUAUAUAUAUCAGUAGGUGCACAUGUAACAUUAUUUAUAAAAUUAUAUGUGUGCAUAUACAUAAAAAAGCAAUUAUAAGUGAAGAUAAUCAACUCACCCAGUUGUUGUAAAUGGUUGGAUCCAUGCCACUAACCAACAACUCAAGCCUCCAAGUUUCUUCCCUCCAUAGAUCCUCCUCUCUCUUGCUAGUAAAAGGAAAGGCAUUAGUCCCCCAAAUCCACAUCAUGUGAAUUGCAUUAGGGCUCAACUCCCUCCCUUGUGGAUCAAGCACCACAAGGAUGGGCUUAUUCCUCAAAUGCCACCGCUCCUUCACAAACCUAACAACCGAUUGAUCAAUAAUGGACGGGUGGUACACCGAGUACCAUGGCAGUGUCGACCUAAUCUCCUCAAAACGCUUCUGCAUGGACUCAGUCCAGUACUGAUUAAAGGCUGAAUUAUGAGGAUCUGACGCAUAUUUAAUUGGCAACAAGGGUGCUGUUGUGGAACUAGCAGGUCGCAGACUGUCCUCCAGUAAAUUACCACUACUAGUAGUACGUUUUUGCAUGGGGUAGGUUAAUUCAGGGAGCCGGCCGUAUUGGCCAGCAUGAGACAUAUCAACAAUUGGCAUCCAAACCAACUCGUACAGACUUUCUAUCCUUGUUCCAUGAUGACGGGACUCGCUAUAGAUUUGUUCCAGAAUUGAGAGCUCAUCUGAGGAUAUGUCUAGGCCUGAUAUCAGUAAUAACACAUUUUUCCUCCUCAGCACAUCCAAGUUAACCUGUAAUAUGUAUUUUAUUGUUAUGCGUGCAUGCAAUUAGUUAAAUAUAUAUGUGUGUGUGUAAAAGAUGCACCGAUAAAGUAAGCUUUGGUCAACAAUUAGUCAAACAGUUGGGCGGUAGCUAAUGAUAAAAUUCUUAACUCUUUGAGCAAAUUAAUGUUGGUCACAACUAACAGUAUAUAUAUAUACAUAUGACAUACCCUUCUCUUCGAAGUUCCUUCAACAAGUGGUUGAAUAUCGUCUUUGGCGUAAAUCAGUGCCUUGAGAACUUUCAUGUUGUCAAUGUGGGUCAUGUCAAACAGAUGCUUUAGUGAUUCGUAGACUUCAAGUUUAAUCUUAUCAUCUACAUGCAUCAAAACAUGCACUAAUUAAAUCACGUUUCAGUACUUUAUAUAUAUUAAGUUAACUAAUAAGGUAUAUACAUACAUAUAUAUAUAUAUAUAUAUAUAUGUCAAUUAGCAAAUUAUAUAAAUAACCUAUGUGUUGGUGGCAAAUAUCCAACUGCUUCUUAAGAUGCUCAUGUAUCUGGUUGAUCCUCUGAAUCAAUGUGGACAGUUCCCAUGAUAGCUCCGUCAUUGAUAUGGUGUAGCUGAUGAAUUAAAUUAAAUUAAUAUAACAUGUAUCAUAAAUAUAUAUAUGAACUAAAUAUUCAACCAAUUAAAUGCUAAUGAUGUAAUUAAAUAACAUAACAUACUCAUGGCCCAUGCUAGUGAGGCAACUAAUCUGAGUUGCACAAGCAAUGAUACUCCUAAUGCCCCAGUACACAGCAGUGGGAAUAGUUGCAAUGGCCGUGGACAAUGCCGGUGCAUCCUUGGUAAUGUAGAUUGUUGGUAAUUCCUCCAAUGCAAUGAUGGCCCUUGUCAAAUCCAUGACUGAAUUGAGGAGAUUGCUAACUGCAUCAAACCGGUGUUUCAGAGAGCCCGAGUGCUCCAUGAUGAGCGGAACUUGCUUAAGGAUGGCCAUUGAUCUUGCAAGCUGGUUAGACGAGAAAAGUUGGGCUAGUAGCCAGAAUUCUCCAUAGCUGAAUGCAAAUGCUGCUAGGGUUAGCACUAGCUUUGCAUCCCAUGGAUAGCUUGAUAACAUGUGCAGUAUGGAGACUGUUGUCACAUGUCCCUCUGCGCCGCACAAACACCUAAUUUGCAUCUGAAAAUAACAAUAUUGCGUAACUUCAAUAUUUAUAAUACCAUAUAUUAAUAAUGUUAAUGUUAUAAGACACCAGAUCCAGAAAUCAAUUGGCAUUAAUAUUGAGUGAAGUAACUCGAUCAUCAAAUUUAUACUUUUAAGUUCAAUUUAUAUUCUCAAAAAAAUAAACAUCCACAUAAUAAUAUAUUAUGAUUUGUAAUGAGUAAUUUAUAACCUCGCAUGAAAUUCGAUCAAUUAUAUGGGACAGUGCCUCAAGCAUGCUAGUGAUAUCAGCAUGGUAGGUUUUGUCCUCGAUCCUAUCCAUAUGAGUCAUAUGAUAGGUUUUAUCCUCCGUCCUAUCCAAAUGCGUAC